UACGUAGGUCCCGAGCGUUGUCCGGAUUUAUUGGGCGUAAAGCGAGCGCAGGUGGUUUAUUAAGUCUGGUGUAAAAGGCAGUGGCUCAACCAUUGUAUGCAUUGGAAACUGGUAGACUUGAGUGCAGGAGAGGAGAGUGGAAUUCCAUGUGUAGCGGUGAAAUGCGUAGAUAUAUGGAGGAACACCGGUGGCGAAAGCGGCUCUCUGGCCUGUAAUUGACACUGAGGCUCGAAAGCGUGGGGAGCAAACAGG
rnacentral:rRNA from 1 species